rnacentral:lncRNA from 1 species
UAAGGGUGGAAAUAAUAUUAUCUCUCAUCUUUUUAUCGUAAUCUCUCUGUAUCGUUAUCAUCUCUCUAUCUAUUUGUUCUCUCUCCCUUUUUUUGUAUCGUCCCCCGUAUUGAUUCUUAUUCUCCUAUUUAUAAUAGGAAGGGUGGCGAGAGAUAUUUUGAGGAGUCGGUUAAGAAUUCGAAAUUCAAAAUCUAAUUUUGAAUCGGUUGUUGUGGUUGGUUUGAAGGGAUUCAAAAUUCGAAAUUGAAUUUUGAAUGGGUGGUUGGAAGAUAUUUUGGGAGUUGGUUGGGAAUUCGAAAUUCGAAAUCGAAUUUUGAAUGGGUUGUUGGAUGGUUGGAAGAUAUUUUGGGAGUUUGUUGGGAAUUCGAAAUUCGAAAUCGAAUUUUGAAUGGGUUGUUGGAUGGUUGGAAGAUAUUUUGGGAGUUUGUUGGGAAUUCGAAAUUCGAAAUCGAAUUUUGAAUAGGUUGUUGGAUGGUUGAAGGAUAUUUUGGGAAUUGGUUGAGGAUUCGAAAUUCGAAAUCGAAUUUUGAAUGAGUUGUUGGGUGGUUAGGUAUUCAAAAUUCAAAUGGAUGUUGAUUGGGGAUUCGAAAUUCGAAAUUGAAUUUUGAAUAGGUUGUGGGAUGGAUAGGUUUUCAAAAUUCGAGUGGAUGUUGGUUGAGAGAUAUUUUGGGAGUUGGUUCGAAAUUCGGAAUCGAAUUUCGAAUAGGGUUGUUAGGAUAGCAGAUAUUUUCUAGUUGGUUGGGGGUUUAAAAAUUUAAAAUCGAAUUUGAAUUCAAAAUUAAAUUUUUAAACGUGGGUGAAAAUAUAGGCCGUGAUCCCAUGAAUUGGACUGAAAUUGUGCCCAUUUUGAUGAAACUUGUUGGGCACAAAUAUUCAUUGGGCUAAGAUAAGGCCCGAAUUUUUGCAUAGGCUUAAAAUUUUAAAGGGCUUUUAUGAGGCCCAUCAAUUCAUGUUUAUGAAUGAAUGGGCCUAUUAUGAAUU